GACGUAGGGCGCGAGCGUUGUCCGGAUUUAUUGGGCGUAAAGAGCUCGUAGGCGGCUUGUUGCGUCGGCUGUGAAAACCCGCAGCUCAACUGUGGGCUUGCAGCCGAUACGGGCAGGCUUGAGUUCGGUAGGGGAGACUGGAAUUCCUGGUGUAGCGGUGAAAUGCGCAGAUAUCGGGAAGAACACCGGUGGCGAAGGCGCCCCUGGACCGGUACUGACGCUGAGGCGCGAAGCG
rnacentral:rRNA from 1 species